GUGCUUGCUUUGACAGCACAUAUACUAAAAUUGGAAUGAUACAGAGAAGAUUAGCAUGUCCCCUGCACAAGGAUGACAUGCAAAUUCAUGAAGUGUUCCAUAUAGUA
rnacentral:snRNA from 1 species